GACGAACGCUGGCGGCAAGCUUAACACAUGCAAGUCGAACGCCGUAGCAAUACGGAGUGGCAGACGGGUGAGUAACGCGUGGGAACGUGCCUUUCGGUUCGGAACAACUGAGGGAAACUUCAGCUAAAACCGGAUACGCCCUUCGGGGGAAAGUUUACGCCGAAAGAUCGGCCCGCGUUAGAUUAGCUAGUUGGUGGGGUAAUGGCCUACCAAGGCGACGAUCUAUAGCUGUUCUGAGAGGAAGAUCAGCCACACUGGGACUGAGACACGGCCCAGACUCCUACGGGAGGCAGCAGUGGGGAAUAUUGGACAAUGGGCGCAAGCCUGAUCCAGCUAUGCCGCGUGGAUGAAGAAGGCCUUAGGGUUGUAAAGUCCUUUCGUUGGUGAAGAUAAUGACGGUAAC
rnacentral:rRNA from 1 species